UCGACAGUCACAUGGAAAUUGUUGACAGACGAAGUUUUGUUUAUAAAAGGAAUGAGGAAGGUUAUUUGUAAUUUGCAAGUGUUGUAAGUUGUGACGUGCAUUUAUUUAUCUUAGUGCCUGUUAUAAAAUUUUGAUCUUAAUAGAAUUAUAAUCAAGGUUUAUUCUCUUUGAAAGUUUUUUCUCAUUCAGCUGAAUUUUUAUGAAUCCUAUUUGACUAGAUAGUUUUCAUAGAAUAAGAUGGCAGACUUGAAUGCUGUUCCCAUCAUUCCUCUAAAGCUUGUCUUUGCCGUACACUUUGUACUUAUAUCAUGGGGCAUACAAGGUGUUUGGAGUCCAGAUAGUUACCUAUUUUAUAAUUUAUUCUUUCUUUUCGCUUUGAUAUGGAGUAUUUAUGAAAAGGAAAAAGAAGAACCUUUACAAAUAGCGAUUCUUAUAAAUUUCUGUGCAAUACUGAUGGAUAUUAUUGUGAUUCUAUUCUACUUUCCUUACCACGGGUACGUGGGAACAGUGUUCAGUUACGCCCUGGCCAUCUUGAACCUGGUUUUCAGGCCGGUAUCCACCGUUGUAAUGGGUAAGAACUGUGCCAACAGGAUGGGGCUAUCAGGCGGAUUCUACCCGGCUACAUUUGGAACGAUAUUUGGUUUCGACCUGACGCAACGACAAGACGGCAUGUCUCCGACUGCGGUGGGCGGAGGGCAGACGGUGCCUCGCAUCUAAUCCAUCAACAUCUUCACAGUUUCAUCCUUGGUCUCCACUCACUACGGUCACCUUCUUCACUUUACUCAUUCACAUUUCACUUUACGCCACUAGACCUGAAUCCAGCCGAAGUGCAGAGAAAUACAUACGAAGAUAUAGACAGUUCUUCUGUUGGAGUUCUGACGUAGUAAAGUGAAUCGGAAUUUCUUGGACAUCCAAAGUGUGAUUCAUGAACCAUAACCAAUAAUAAUUGGUGUAAGAAUAUAAGCAUAAUCUGUGUUCCAACUAGUCAGUACUUAUAAUCCAUAAUUAUGUGUAAACUAUUGAACAUGCAUCAUAAUAAUUAUGUUGGAAUUUGGAAUUGGUUGCAAGAUUAUUAAUAUCUGAUGCUUAAUUAUUUUGUUUGUGGAGUUCACUGAAAGAGCAUCAACUCAUUAGUGUAUUUCAGAUAAAUAACUAAAUGGGAAGUGGGUUACUUGUUGUCACAGAGUUGAAUUUAUAACGGCGAAUUACCGCUACUACUUUUGAUAUUGCAGCAAUGACUAUUUGUUUCAAGCAAAUCAUGGUAUUGAUAUCGGAUGUAUAGAAUCAGUUCAUGGAAAAUAUUAGGAGUGUCUUUUCAGUGACAUCGAGUAAUUCUCAUUAAACAUACCAUAUAAAUCACAAUCAACACUAUUAAUAGAAUAACUUUUAAUUUUUAGAAAAUUUAUGUAAUUCUAGUACUUACAUCACCAGUAACGAUAUUAUCGUCAACGUAUUUCCAUUUUAAUGUUUUAAUUAUUGUAAUUUGUUUAUUUACACUAGUUAGUUGAAAAACGAUUUUAACAAUUACUUUAUGUGAUAGAUGUUUUCUAUUUGAAAUAAAAAAUAUUGUGUCAAUUAAUAUUACAGGUUUUUUAAAUUAUUGUCUAGAGAUUAAUGUAAUUAGCAUUGGGUAAUUCAUAAAGUUAUUUUUUGAAACAAUAUACAACAUUAGUAAAAUUUAUGUAAGAAUUUAUAUUUAUUAACCGUUUACAAAACCACUGUAAGAGAUAUUCGUCAAAUGAAAGUAUACUUAUUUGGAUCAACACGCAUUUUUGAAGCUUAUCCUCCCAGUUUAACGAUUUCCUAACUAACAUCGGUUAUUGAUUUGUUUAAAAAAAUAGUACCUAUUGUUAAGACAUAACCAAUUGUUUUCAAAAUUUUCUGAAUCAUUGAUGAUUAUUUUUUAGAGGAUUACUGCAAAGGAUUGUUUUGAUUAUAAAUAUAAUUGUAUCCUCUAAUCAAAGUUGAUGGAGCCUAUCGUCUAAGGCUUCUACGACAUAGAUCUAAGAGUGUGAAUUGUCUAUCAUUGUCUAUGAAUAUUUUCUUUAAUGAAUGUUAUAAUAAACUGUGCCGCAUGCCUGGUUAUUGCAUGAUAAAGAAAUAAUGAAAGAACCAAAAAGCAUAUUGUGCCUCAAUCUUAUUUUGCAUGUGAUUGCAAAAUUUUCCCAUUGCAAAUUGAACUGUUUAAAGUUAAGGUUUUUAAUUAAUAAGAAAUUAAUUUUGAAGGAAAUAAUAUAUAAUAUAUUCAUCAAAUUGUA
rnacentral:misc_RNA from 1 species